GUGUCAGCCGCCGCGGUUAUACGGAGGAGGCAAGCGUAAUCCGGAAUUAUUGGGCGUAAAGCGUCCGCAGGUGGCUCGCUCAAGUCUGCUGUCAAAGACCGGGGCUUAACUCCGGAAAGGCAGUGGAAACUGACAAGCUAGAGGGCUCUAGGGGUAGAGGGAAUUCCCGGUGUAGCGGUGAAAUGCGUAGAGAUCGGGAAGAACAUCGGUGGCGAAAGCGCUCUACUGGAGAGCAACUGACACUCAGGAACGAAAGCUAGGGGAGCGAAUGGGAUUAGAUACCCCAGUAGUCCUAGCCGUAAACGAUGGAUACUAGGCGUGGCUCGUAUCGACCCGAGCCGUGCCGUAGCUAACGCGUUAAGUAUCCCGCCUGGGGAGUACGGCCGCAAGGUUGAAACUUAAAUGAAUUGGCGGGG
rnacentral:rRNA from 1 species